GAUGAAGAACGUAGUGAAAUGCGAUAAGUAAUGUGAAUUGCAGAAUUCAGUGAAUCAUCGAAUCUUUGAACGCACAUUGCGCCCGCCAGUAUUCUGGCGGGCAUGCCUGUUCGAGCGUCAUUACAACCCUCAGGCCCCCGGGCCUGGCGUUGGGGAUCGGCGGAGCCCCCCGUGGGCACACGCCGUCCCCCAAAUGCAGUGGCGGUCCCGCCGCAGCUUCCAUCGCGUAGUAGCCAACACCUCGCGACUGGAGAGCGGCGCGGCCACGCCGUAAAACACCCAACUCUUCUGAAGUUGACCUCGAAUCAGGUAGGAAUACCCGCUGAACUUAAGCAUAUCAAUAAGCGGAGGA
rnacentral:misc_RNA from 1 species